AUGUUACUCCAAAAAGAUUGUUUAAAUUUGAAAUUUCUGAAAAUCAAACAAUGGAAUUUAUUUGAUAAUCUGUGCCUGCAGGAAAUGAAAGGAAAUGACUUAAAAACAAUUUUAAAUAUAGGAAGAAAUCACCAAGGGAAGAAGAUGAUGGAAUCUUAUUUACUUACUAAAGCAGAAGAGAAAAACAAAACAAAACAAAACAAAACAAAACAGAAAAGGGAUUUUGAGGUUUACAAUAUUUGCAUACUUACUCUACAGUAAUCAUAAUUUGAGAUGCCCGAGUUUGAAUUCGGAAUAUUACUUAGUAUUGAUUCUUUGGGCAAGUUACUCAAUCAUUCUCGGUCAUUUUGAGGUUAGAAAAUAUAUUAAUUUUUGGUUUUUAUACGAGUUGGAUUAAUACGUAAAGUGAUUGGAACACUGUGAACAUUGUCCAUACAUAUAAGCAUUUACUAGUGUUAAGGUUUUGCUGUAGUAAUUCCAAAAAUAUACUAUCAAAUUUACAUCAUAUGGACCACAGUUUAUCCAUUUACUGACUGAGGGAUAUCUUGUUUGCUUCCAUGUUUUGGCAAUUAUGAAAUAAAGCUGCUAUAAACAUCUGAAAAAAAUUAUAU
rnacentral:lncRNA from 1 species